GUGAUGGUCCCUACGGAUGUUGACACAAUGUGAUUCAUGCCUAGUGUUUUGCAUGUCAAAGUGAAGAAAUUCAACCAAGUGCGGGUAAAUGACAUGAGAAAAUAUGACUCUCUUAAGGUAUCCAGAUGCAUCAUCAUCUAAUUAGUGACGCACAUGAAUGGAUUAACGAGAUUCACACUAUCCCUAGCUACUAUCUAGAGGAACCACAUCCAAGGGAACGAGCUUGGUAGAAUUAGCGGGGAAAUAAGACCAUGUUGAGAUUGACUCUAGUAUGACUUUGUGAAAUGACUUGAGAGGUGUAGAAUAAGUGGGAUUUGUUUUCAGCGAAAGUGAAAUACCACUAAUUUUAAUGUUAUUUUACUUAUUCUAUGGGGCAGAGACGGGGCAUUGCACAUAUGUUAAAAUAUAAUGCACAUUUUCUCAAAGUGUUGUCAUUGAUGGCAAUGGUAAAGAUCUCAUUCUUCACGCACUUGAUGUAAAUGAUUUUAGGAAACCAAAGAGGAUCAUUUCUUUUAAGGACGAAUAAAUUUCCUAAAAUCCCUAUGUUUUUAGCCAACAUCCCCUU
rnacentral:ncRNA from 1 species